UGCUGGCACAUCAGCACUCUCUUGUCAGUGCUGAGACAGUCCAGGACUGCUCCUGACAGGCUGCAACAGCUGGACGGUGUUACCUGCGCUGCCUAAGCGGGUGGGUGUCAGACCUAAAAAGCGGUCACAGACCCAUUUUAUUUACUAAGGUAGCUGCAAUCAGCAUGUUCAAGACUGUUACAAUGAAUGACUCAUCAGCCAGAAGAUGACACCAGUCCUCACUGAAUAGCACUCUGGUCCUUCCCUCUCUGCAGUCAAGGGCCGUACUGACAUGGCUGUGCACCUCCUGUGAGACUGCCCUUCCUUACCAUGUCUGUCAUCAGAAAAGUGCAACGGAUUUGAUGGGCCACUGAGAUAAACUCAUGGCAUGAAGACCCACCAAGGAGCUUCAGACCCUUCAUGCUUUCUUCAGAGAUCCCCAAGCCACAGCACUCAAGGACACCUGGAGUGGUGGUUGGACACGUCUGAUGAAAAUCAGUGGCACAGCUCUGGCCAGCAGGCCUGCCAGCGUUCAGCCGUGGCACUUGCUGUGAUGCAAAGCACAGCUGCACCGACCAAAAUGGUUCUGUGCGCCACCUCCCUCCCUCCCUCCCACAGGUCCUAUCCCAGCACGUUCCCGACAGAAGCUGUCUGUGCCCAGCAGCCCCGCAGACCCCAGGCAGCACUCGGAGGACGAGCUAAAUUAGCUUCACCUCCUGCCUCCCAAACAAUUCCCGGCUAUGCCCCAGCCGCAUUGCUAAUGAUGAUGUAAGAAACUUUAAUAAGAGUCUGAUUUGCACGUACCAGGUUUAACUUUUUGGAGACAGCUGUUCGAGAGUCCUCCAGUGACGGGCACAGGCAGGGGCCCUGUUCUCUGGGGCCCUGGAGAACGAAGAUGUCCACAGGAACACUUCUGCAGUGGUGGCUGGGCAAAUAUGGGUAUCUUCAGAUGAUGGGACAAUUUAUUCCCUCUCUUAGCCUAAUCUUUGUAACUUUGCCUGGUUUUGGAAAGGAGUCUGAGCAGUCUUAAAUGUAUAUUGUAUUGACACCAGCUAUGCUGCAUAAAAGGCUCAGUACUAACAGCUCUCCUCUUUAGUGACUUUUUGGCCAUCCCCCUUUUCACAUGUUAGGAACUACCAGGACAGCAGUGUUGGCUUCGCACGUCUCUCAAAGACAGCCCAAUGCUUCAAGUCCACCUUGCUGCUCCUCAUGAGAAACAAGAGGAACAGACCUAGACAGAGCUUUUAGGUGUGUCCACCACCUCAUCACAUGAUCAAGUCUCCUACUACUAGGGAUUUUUUUCUCAUAUUCUGCAGUGAGCUAUAAUUGUGUUCAUCCUACGUGCUGAGCCUGUAUGAAUGCAAGUCACUCCUUGGUCCUCUGCCUGAAUACCACAGGAGAGCAGCCUAUGUGCAGCUGCUCCACAGCCUCCCCCCUUCAAGAGCAGCGGGAGGGAAAAGCACGGCUGGGAAAAGGGAAGACCCUUCCAUUUCCACCAGCCUGCGUACCAGCCUUAGCGGAUUCGUGUUUCUGCAGCGAGCACCCGCUGCUUCAGGACAGGACGAGGUCUGGGGGAAGCCGAAACCCACAGCUGCAGUCUGGAUGCUGCUGGGGAGCCGCCGUUGGGGUGCACUGUGUCACCCCAUUUCCCCCAAAACUGGCAAAGAACUGUGGUCUCAUGCCAAGGAGACAAGGGCUCCACCCCACCCGCUUCCAGGUUUGCCUCUCCCCUUGCCUUUUGCUUCACAAGGCUGGAUGCGCUCUUAACUCCUUAUAACGUGAAGAUCUGCUGCUGUCUUUCCAUCCAUAAAUGGCGACAGUUCCCAAGCCUAAGAGUACCUGGGCUGCUGUUAUCCACGUUAGAAGGGAGUUGUCUAUAAUGCACAUGUAACUACCCAAACACAAGCGUAUUUUAUCCUUGGUGGCAUCUCUAAGUUUUAGCUAUUUUGUGUAAAGCGCACAGCUAUAUUCCUUUUUUUCAUUAAUGCUUAUUUAGGUUAAAGCCUUAAGAUUACCAGUGUUCUAAGUAUUUUAAGACAGUAUUUUUUUAAUAAAGUAUUUGGUCUGAA